AACGAACGCUGGCGGCGUGCUUAACACAUGCAAGUCGAACGAUGAAGCCGGAGCUUGCUCUGGUGAAUUAGUGGCGAACGGGUGAGUAACACGUGAGUAACCUGCCCUUGACUCUGGGAUAACUGCGGGAAACUGUAGCUAAUACCGGAUACGACCCUCGGAGGCAUCUCCUGGGGGUGGAAAGAAUUUCGGUCAAGGAUGGACUCGCGGCCUAUCAGCUCGUUGGUGAGGUAAAGGCUCACCAAGGCGACGACGGGUAGCCGGCCUGAGAGGGUGACCGGCCACACUGGGACUGAGACACGGCCCAGACUCCUACGGGAGGCAGCAGUGGGGAAUAUUGCACAAUGGGCGCAAGCCUGAUGCAGCAACGCCGCGUGAGGGAUGACGGCCUUCGGGUUGUAAACCUCUUUUAGCAGGGAAGAAGCGAAAGUGACGGUACCUGCAGAAAAAGCACCGGCUAACUACGAGCCAGCCGCCGCGGUAA
rnacentral:rRNA from 1 species